ensembl:lincRNA
GAUAAUAAUCCCUAACAACUGUCGUCCUGGGUACUCAGCAAUGCCGCAUGACAAGGGUUGGCAGCCUCACUGCACCCAGCAAGAAGCAUUAGUCCCUCUGAGGGAGGGAGACCAGGAGCAGAGAAUCACUUCCCAGGGUCUCAUGCUGAAAAACAGUGCCGGCACACCACACAGAGCCACCUGGCAACACACCGGGUGGACACCUCAGGACGCUGGGAGAGUUAUCUCUGGGGCGCACGGACAGAAGCCAAGCACCAGCACCAGUGGGGCAGCUGCAUGCCCUGGCCCUUCACGAAGAGCUUGUCAUUCUCUGCUCAGCAGACUCAGGGACUCAAAGAUGCAUGGACUCAAGGUCCACCCAAGACACAACUCUCCCACGGCUAGGGCCCCUCUUCCAACACUUUUGGGAUUUGGGAUGAGCCUUCUGGAUGGAGGAGCAGAAAUCUAAAGACAGGUGUUCUUUGCAAAAAGGCACCGGCCAGUCACAGUGCAGACCCCUUAUCCAGCCGUUGGUGCUAGAGAUAGCUGCUUGAGCUCUCUGAGGGGCGCUUCUCAGCCCUGGACCUAUUCCCAGGGCAGAUGCCACUUUGCAACUUUCCACACUGCAAAGGACACUGAGGCUUGGGCAAAGAGGUGGGAGACUUGGCCAGGCCGGAAUGAGGGGUGUUUGUGUCCCUGAGACCCCACGUGAGCCACCACUGCCUCACACUGACGCAUAGCCACAACUGCACCUGAGUGGUCCCAGCUAAGCAGGGAAGGGUAAACGCUCCGCUCCAGUCCUCAGGCUCGUGUGUGCAACGAGAGUGGAGCUCAGCUGUCAGGUGGUGGGGUGUGUGCACUCUGGGGUCCUGAUUUGUCACCUUAAGUGGAUUGAGAAACAUCUAGCCCAUUAGUACAUGCUCCAGAGUAAGUCUGGGUGGGUCUCACAUGGUCCUGGCUGGCUGGCUCUCUGCUUUGUUCCCCCGAAACUGUGAGCUACCCUCCCGGGUCUCUCCCUGGGGUCUCUGCCUUAGAGCAGAAAUUUGGAUACAGAGGGAUUUCUGAAUUGUGUUGCUCAGUGCAAAAGGGUCUUGCAGAGCAGGGUCACACAGCACAGACACUAGGAGUGACGAGGCCCUCUGCGUCCCAGGCCCUGGAAUACUGUGGAUAUCAAGCUACCCAGCGAUUUCCUAAAGGAAAGUGUCCUGUUUCAGGGCAGACUGACUCUUACUGAAAACCAAAACAGAUGUCCUUCCCUGUGGGAGAGCACGGUCUUCCUAGUGGCCUCUGUCAGCCGACCCCCAUCACAUUCAGAUGGACACAGCUGGUUGCACAGCAGAGCUCCUUCUGCAAGACCUUGCCACAACCAGCAGCCCACAGCUUCGGGAGCAGCCCUGAGGGUGUGGUCCCUUGGGUAGUCCCUCUCCUAUGCUCUUUAUUAUUGUAUUGUUCGGGAAGUUCUUCUUUAUCUUGGUAAUCACUAGAAUAGAAAAGAGAGUGAUAAUAGUCGGGACCACUGGAAGUUGAGUGUCACUCAUUAACAGCUUGUACUAAAGAGGUUCCUACUUAUUUUUUUUUAAAUCGCGACCGGGGAUCGAACUCACAACCGACCCGGCACUUGCAAGGCAGGCACUUAUGUCGCUGAGCUAAGUCCCCAGCCCCACUAAUGACGUUUCUAAGGGAGGUCUAGCAAUGCUGGGGAGAAGUAGAGCCCAAGGUAAUAAACAGAGCCAGGAGGAGGAAACCUCCCACCCAAGUGCCCAGUGCCAAGUGAGUAUUCAGCUAAAAGAAAAGGAUCACCUGGACAUGUUUGGUCACGUCAAGCACACGAUGGCACCACAGCACACUGGCGACCAAGGUGAGGGGAGUCCACAAUGCUAUAGGAGCAGCACCCCAAGACUACCACAGCUGGGGGGACAGAGAAGACGGCUGGAAAUUCACCACAACACCACCGCUAAGGAGGAACAGAAGAGCUGCAUGUCAAGGCACCAACAGCGGAGCUUUGCUUGACAGCCGCACACUGUGGCCUAGGAAGGUGACACCUCUGCUGCCUGCCUCAGCGGGACCUGAGUUCAGGGGUGACUCGGACUCAACUGGACUUGUGUCGUGUGACUGACCAGGACAUUGUGCCUGUUCGUGUGUGCCGUGUACGGUAAGGGCUGGCUGUUUGAACUGUGUGUGCAGAAGGGGUCUGUCUGUCUAAUCUGCUCACGUCCUUUACUCUACCAUGAAGUGCUCGUGAAGCCGGGGCAGCACAUACACAGCCAGGGCAGCCUAGACAACUCCAGAAGCAAAUCGAUUCUUUCCUGAAAUUCUAACCAAAUCUCACCAAAGAUCAAUUACCUCCCCUUUCCGGGAUGUGCUCCUCCCCCAGAUAUGACUCGCAAGAUGGUGGAAACCAAAUAAAGAAAACUUUGCUAGCAACAUUUUGUGGAUACAACUUCUGAAGUUCCUGCAGUCAGAACAAAUUCAGUGAAUCUCUGGCGGGAUGGGACCUGCACAGCAUGCCAACACCAUUCCCACAUUUAGGGACAGGCCUGUGUGCGGAGAGCACAGCCCCGCGGCAGACAGGUGGCACCGUGGCCUGAACCUCGGGAUUAAACCAG